GUGAGGAAUAUUGGACAAUGGGCGCAAGCCUGAUCCAGCCAUGCCGCGUGCAGGAAGACGCAUCUAUGGUGUGUAAACUGCUUUUGUACGGGAAGAAACACUCCCUCGUGAGGGAGCUUGACGGUACCGUAAGAAUAAGGAUCGGCUAACUCCGUGCCAGCAGCCGCGGUAAUACGGAGGAUCCAAGCGUUAUCCGGAAUCAUUGGGUUUAUAGGGUCCGUAGGCGGUUUAAUAAGUCAGUGGUGAAAGCCCAUCGCUCAACGAUGGAACGGCCAUUGAUACUGUUAGACUUGAAUUACAAGGAAGUAACUAGAAUAUGUAGUGUAGCGGUGAAAUGCUUAGAUAUUACAUGGAAUACCAAUUGCGAAGGCAGGUUACUACUUGUGGAUUGACGCUGAUGGACGAAAGCGUGGGGAGCGAACAGGAUUAGAAACCCUGGUAGUCC
rnacentral:rRNA from 1 species